GGCCUAACACAUGCAAGUCGAGGGGUAUUAGUUUUCGGACUAAGAGACCGGCGCACGGGUGCGUAACGCGUAUGCAAUCUACCUUUUACAGAGGGAUAGCCCAGAGAAAUUUGGAUUAAUACCUCAUAGCAUAACGACCUGGCAUCAGGAUGUUAUUAAAGUCACAACGGUGAAAGAUGAGCAUGCGUCCCAUUAGCUAGUUGGUAAGGUAACGGCUUACCAAGGCUACGAUGGGUAGGGGUCCUGAGAGGGAGAUCCCCCACACUGGUACUGAGACACGGACCAGACUCCUACGGGAGGCAGCAGUGAGGAAUAUUGGACAAUGGGCGCAAGCCUGAUCCAGCCAUGCCGCGUGCAGGAUGACGGUCCUAUGGAUUGUAAACUGCUUUUAUACGAGAAGAAACACUCCUUCGUGAAGGAGCUUGACGGUAUCGUAAGAAUAAGGAUCGG
rnacentral:rRNA from 1 species